rnacentral:rRNA from 1 species
AACGAACGCUGGCGGCAUGCCUAACACAUGCAAGUCGAACGAGACCUUCGGGUCUAGUGGCGCACGGGUGCGUAACACGUGGGAAUUUGCCUCGGGGUAUGGAAUAACUCAGGGAAACUUGAGCUAAUACCAUAUAAUGUCUUCGGACCAAAGAUUUAUCGCCCUGAGAUAAGCCCGCGUAGGAUUAGCUAGUUGGUGGGGUAAAGGCUCACCAAGGCGACGAUCCUUAGCUGGUCUGAGAGGAUGAUCAGCCACACUGGGACUGAGACACGGCCCAGACUCCUACGGGAGACAGCAGUGGGGAAGUAUUGGACAAUGGGCGGAAAGACCUGAUCCAGCAAUAGCCGCGUGAGUGAUGAAGGCC